rnacentral:rRNA from 1 species
GAUGAACGCUGGCGGCGUGCCUAAUACAUGCAAGUCGAGCGAACGGACGAGAAGCUUGCUUCUCUGAUGUUAGCGGCGGACGGGUGAGUAACACGUGGAUAACCUACCUAUAAGACUGGGAUAACUUCGGGAAACCGGAGCUAAUACCGGAUGAUAUUUUGAACCGCAGGGUUCAAAAGUGAAAGACGGUUUUGCUGUCACUUAUAGAUGGAGCCGCGCUGCAUUAGCUAGUUGGUAAGGUAACGGCUUACCAAGGCAACGAUGCAUAGCCGACCUGAGAGGGUGAUCAGCCACACUGGAACUGAGACACGGUCCAGACUCCUACGGGAGGCAGCAGUAGGGAAUCUUCCGCAAUGGGCGAAAGCCUGACGGAGCAACGCCGCGUGAGUGAUGAAGGUCUUCGGAUCGUAAAGCUCUGUUAUUAGGGAAGAACAUAUGUGUAUGUAACUGUGCACAUCUUGACGGUACCUAAUCAGAAAGCCACGGCUAACUACGUG